AGAGUUUGAUCCUGGCUCAGAUUGAACGCUGGCGGCAUGCCUUACACAUGCAAGUCGAACGGCAGCAUGGAGAGCUUGCUCUCUGAUGGCGAGUGGCGAACGGGUGAGUAAUACAUCGGAACGUGUCCGUUUGUGGGGGACAACCGUCCGAAAGGAUGGCUAAUACCGCAUGAGACCUGAGGGUGAAAGCCGGGGACCGCAAGGCCCGGCGCAGACGGAGCGGCCGAUGAUUGAUUAGCUAGUUGGGGAGGUAAAGGCUCACCAAGGCGACGAUCAAUAGCUGGUCUGAGAGGACGACCAGCCACACUGGAACUGAGACACGGUCCAGACUCCUACGGGAGGCAGCAGUGGGGAAUUUUGGACAAUGGGGGCAACCCUGAUCCAGCCAUGCCGCGUGCGGGAAGAAGGCCUUCGGGUUGUAAACCGCUUUUGUCAGGGACGAAAAGCUCCGGAGUAAUAUGCCGGAGUGCUGACGGUACCUGAAGAAUAAGCACCGGCUAACUACGUGCCAGCAGCCGCGGUAAUACGUAGGGUGCGAGCGUUAAUCGGAAUUACUGGGCGUAAAGCGUGCGCAGGCGGUUGGGUAAGACAGAUGUGAAAUCCCCGGGCUUAACCUGGGAACUGCAUUUGUGACUGUCCGACUGGAGUACGUCAGAGGGGGGUGGAAUUCCACGUGUAGCAGUGAAAUGCGUAGAUAUGUGGAAGAACACCGAUGGCGAAGGCAGCCCCCUGGGACGCAACUGACGCUCAUGCACGAAAGCGUGGGGAGCAAACAGGAUUAGAUACCCUGGUAGUCCACGCCCUAAACGAUGUCUGCUGGUUGUUGGGAAUUUAAUUCUCAGUAACGAAGCCAACGCGUGAAGCAGACCGCCUGGGGAGUACGGUCGCAAGAUUAAAACUCAAAG
rnacentral:rRNA from 1 species